rnacentral:rRNA from 1 species
CAGUAGCCACGGUAAUACGAAGGGUGCAAGCGUUACUCGGAAUUACUGGGCGUAAAGCGUGCGUAGGUGGUGGUUUAAGUCCGUUGUGAAAGCCCUGGGCUCAACCUGGGAACUGCAUUUGUGACUGGCAGGCUAGAGUAUGGCAGAGGGGGGUGGAAUUCCGCGUGUAGCAGUGAAAUGCGUAGAUAUGCGGAGGAACACCAAUGGCGAAGGCAGCCCCCUGGGCCAAUACUGACGCUCAGGUGCGAAAGCGUGGGGAGCAAACAGGAUUAGAUACCCCCGUAGUCCCUGUCUCUUAUAC